rnacentral:rRNA from 1 species
UAUUGCACAAUGGGGGAAACCCUGAUGCAGCGUCGCCGCGUGAGUGAAGAAGUGCUUCGGUAUGUAAAGCUCUAUCAGCAGGGAAGAAAAUGACGGUACCUGAUUAAGAAGCCCCGUCUAACUACGUGCCAGCAGCCGCGGUAAUACGUAGGGGGCAAGCGUUAUCCGGAUUUACUGGGUGUAAAGGGAGCGUAGACGGCAGCACAAGUCUGGAGUGAAAUGCCGGGGCUUAACCCCGGAACUGCUUUGGAAACUGUGCAGCUAGAAUGAAGGAGAAGUAAGUGGAAUUCCUAGUGUAGCGGUGAAAUGCGUAGAUAUUAGGAGGAACACCAGUGGCGAAGGCGGCUUACUGGACUGUAACUGACGUUGAGGCUCGAAAGCGUGGGGAGCAAACAGG